AGAGUUUGAUCCUGGCUCAGGAUGAACGCUGGCGGCGUGCUUAACACAUGCAAGUCGAACGGGAAUGCUUCGCUGAUGCGAUUUCGGUCAAAUCUUGAAGCAUUUUAGUGGCGGACGGGUGAGUAACGCGUGGGUAACCUGCCCUGUACAGGGGGACAACAGUUGGAAACGACUGCUAAUACCGCAUAAGCGCACAGCUUCGCAUGAAGCAGUGUGAAAAACUCCGGUGGUACAGGAUGGACCCGCGUCUGAUUAGAUAGUUGGUGAGGUAACGGCCCACCAAGUCAACGAUCAGUAGCCGGCCUGAGAGGGCGAACGGCCACAUUGGGACUGAGACACGGCCCAAACUCCUACGGGAGGCAGCAGUGGGGAAUAUUGCACAAUGGGGGAAACCCUGAUGCAGCGACGCCGCGUGAGUGAAGAAGUAUUUCGGUAUGUAAAGCUCUAUCAGCAGGGAAGAAAACAAUGACGGUACCUGACUAAGAAGCCCCGGCUAACUACGUGCCAGCAGCCGCGGUAAUACGUAGGGGGCAAGCGUUAUCCGGAUUUACUGGGUGUAAAGGGAGCGUAGACGGUAGACCAAGUCUGAAGUGAAAGCCCGGGGCUCAACCCCGGAACUGCUUUGGAAACUGGUAAACUAGAGUGCAGGAGAGGUAAGUGGAAUUCCUAGUGUAGCGGUGAAAUGCGUAGAUAUUAGGAGGAACACCAGUGGCGAAGGCGGCUUACUGGACUGUAACUGACGUUGAGGCUCGAAAGCGUGGGGAGCAAACAGGAUUAGAUACCCUGGUAGUCCACGCCGUAAACGAUGAUUACUAGGUGUCGGGGAGUUAAACUCUUCGGUGCCGCAGCAAACGCAAUAAGUAAUCCACCUGGGGAGUACGUUCGCAAGAAUGAAACUCAAAGGAAUUGACGGGGACCCGCACAAGCGGAGGAACAUGUGGUUUAAUUCGAUGAUACGCGAGGAACCUUACCCGGGCUUGAAUUGCAGAGGAAGGAUUUGGAGACAAUGACGCCCUUCGGGGUCUCUGUGAAGGUGCUGCAUGGUUGUCGUCAGCUCGUGCCGUGAGGUGUCGGCUUAAGUGCCAUAACGAGCGCAACCCCUCUCCUUAGUUGCCAUCAGGUUAAGCUGGGCACUCUGGGGACACUGCCACCGUAAGGUGUGAGGAAGGUGGGGAUGACGUCAAAUCAGCACGGCCCUUACGUCCGGGGCUACACACGUGUUACAAUGGCAAGUACAGAGAGACGGUUGUACGUAAGUACGAUCAAAUCCUUAAAGCCUGUCUCAGUUCGGACUGGGGUCUGCAACCCGACCCCACGAAGCUGGAUUCGCUAGUAAUCGCGCAUCAGCCAUGGCGCGGUGAAUACGUUCCCGGGCCUUGUACACACCGCCCGUCAAGCCAUGAAAGCCGGGGGCGCCUAAAGUCCGUGACCGUAAGGAGCGGCCUAGGGCGAAACUGGUAAUUGGGGCUAAGUCGUAACAAGGUA
rnacentral:rRNA from 1 species